AGCAAUGCGUUUCUUAGUCACCUGUGUUCUCUUGGCAUUGGCUCUUUGCAGCGCCGUGGAGUGUCAUGAGGAUAUUUUUAAACGACUAGCUGAGGAUAUUAAACAUGUCGCCGACAAAUUUGCCCAUGAUGUGAAACAUGGUUUCCAUGAUUUUGGCGAUGAUGUGAAACAUGUUGCUGACGAAUUUGGUCAUGAUGUCAAAGAUGCGGUCCAUGAUACUGAAGAUGCCCUGAAGAAAUUUGGUGAUGAUGUUGAUAAA